CACAAUGAUUCUUCUUGUCUCUACAUCUCUUUCCUUCUCUCUGAUUACCUAAAUCACGUUAUCACCACGAGCUUUACCGCUGGCUUUUACAAGACUUCGAUCCGUCAAUUUUGUUUUCCUUUUUCUCUGGUUGUUCUUAAAGGAGGAUAGCAAACGGAGCUAGACGCUGGCCUCCUCUAUCAAUCCCGAUCUAGUGGAUUUUUUCACCGUUGUUGGGUUUCCAUUCUUAAAGAAAGGAGAAGAAGGAAAGCCUGUCUGGUCCAGCCAACUGAACUGGACCAGCUAACUCGACUCGGUCCAAUCCAACCCGACCGGUUCACCCCAACCUGGUUCAUCACGAACCGGUUCACCCGACCUGGAUCACUCCAACCCUGUUCUGUUCAGCUUGUGGCUUGUUAUGUUCCGUUUUUUUUGGACUGUGCGCGACCAAGGUUGUUCCGGCUUCGCGUAUAUACAGUGGGAAUCAGUGUAUGGGGUAUGUAACUAAUGUGAUAUGGGUUUUUACAUUGAAUAUUUAUUCGUUGGACUUAUUUAUCUGUUUUUUAGAACAUCCCUAAUUCUAUUUUUUUUUCUUAAGAUAA